UUGUCCACGAAGAAGAAGGGAAUUACUGAGCAAAUCAACUUUCCUGGAAACAAGGUCUCUACAAAGCACCAUGUAUGCUCUAAUAGUGAUGAUAAAAAAGAGAGAUUCUCCAUCUCUUGCCCACUCAUAAGGAAAAGGAAGGAGAUGCCCUACCAUGUACCAAACCCAAUUCCACAUCCCUUCACUACCCAGAUAAAUCUAGUGGCCCCAUUUAGCCUGAAGUCACAGACAGGAAUAGGCAAGUGCUUUCUUCUCUUCCCUUCCCCC